AUUCCACAUGAGACCUAUUAUUAGCUAACAGAUGGAAUUUCAGGCACUGAAGAUGAUGUUUUAGGUAGACAAAAGUUAAUGCUCUAAAUCCUCAUGUAGGAUGCCCAACAUCUGGAUGCACCCAGCAUGACUACUGGUGCUGAGCAGCCACCCACGGAGGGCAUAUGCACGAAGACAUUAAAGGUAAAAGAAAUGGCCUGUGCUGAGCAACAGAGAAAGCUGUAUCAGAGAUAAAACCAAACAGUAAGCUUCCUAUGACACUGCUCCAGUGGAAGAAGAGAAAGCACCACCUCAUUACUGCAAGGUGGAAACAGAAGUCCAAGAGAGAUUCUUUGUUACCACUUGACAUGGAUGGGAAUCUAGGCACUCCCUGAUGGAGAGAAGGAGGACUGUCUCAUUAUGCUCACCAUGUAACCUACAAUAGCACCAUGGAAGGGGGAUGUGGACGUCUGUUAUCACUGGGUGGUGGUGAAAGCCCUGACUAUUGGCCUCUUUGGACAUAAUGCCAGUGGGGAGGGGGGAGAAUGCUUCAUUACUGCCAUCUGUGGGUAGAAAUCCAGGCUACGCACUUUGCUUUUUGAUGGUGUGGUGGGGGACGGGGCCACAGAUUUUUUUCUGCGGUAUUUAGCAGAAAUACAGAGUAGUUAUUGCCAA